rnacentral:rRNA from 1 species
GUGAAAUGCGUAGAGAUCGGGAGGAAUACCAGUGGCGAAGGCGGCCUUCUGGACUGACACUGACGCUGAGGCGCGAAAGCGUGGGUAGCAAACAGGAUUAGAUACCCUGGUAGUCCACGCCGUAAACGAUGUCGACCAGCCGUUGGACCCCUUGAGGGUCUGGUGGCGCAGUUAACGCAAUAAGUCGACCGCCUGGGGAGUACGGCCGCAAGGCUAAAACUCAAAUGAAUUGACGGGGGCCCGCACAAGCGGUGGAGCAUGUGGUUUAAUUCGAUGCAACGCGAAGAACCUUACCUGCCCUUGACAUCCUGCGAACCCGGAAGAGAUUCCGGGGUGCCUUCGGGAACGCAGAGACAGGUGCUGCAUGGCUGUCGUCAGCUCGUGUUGUGAAAUGUUGGGUUAAGUCCCGUAACGAGCGCAACCCCUAUCCCUUUUUGCCAGCGGUCCGGCCGGGAACUUCAGGGAGACUGCCGGUGACAAACCGGAGGAAGGUGGGGACGACGUCAAGUCAUCAUGGCCCUUACGGGCAGGGCUACACACGUGCUACAAUGGCCGGUACAAAGGGUUGCGAAGCGGCGACGUGAAGCCAAUCCCAUAAAGCCGGCCUCAGUCCGGAUCGGAGUCUGCAACUCGACUCCGUGAAGUCGGAAUCGCUAGUAAUCGUGGAUCAGAAUGCCACGGUGAAUACGUUCCCGGGCCUUGUACACACCGCCCGUCACACCAUGGGAGUGGACUGCACCAGAAGUGGUUAGCUUAACCUUCGGGAGAGCGAUCACCACGGUGUGGUUCAUGACUGGGGUGAAGUCGUAACAAGGUAACC